CCCUAACACCAGCACCCUAACAUUGACACAGCACCCUAACACACACACAGCACCCUAACACCAGCACCCUAACAUUGACACAGAACCCUAACACACACAGCACCCUAACACCAGCACCCCAACACGCACACAGCACCCUAACACCAGCACCCUAACAUUGACACAGAACCCUAACACACACAGCACCCUAACACCAGCACCCUAACAUUGACACAGAACCCUAACACACACACAGCACCCUAACACC